AUGCUAUAAAACUGGAAAACAGUAUCCACUAUACUAAAACCUGUCGAUAUAUACGCCAAUUUGACACUGAUCGAAUUACUUCAAUGCGCAACAUGGCAAAAAGCAAGACAAAACACUACGAGUUUAUACCUGAUUUUCGCUUCGAGAAAAAGGGCAUUUGCGACGUUUGACAGCAUAGGUGCCGAGCAGUAGAGCCACAUGAAGUUCUAGCCUUGUUUUAUCGCAGAAAGAAUUAUGAAUUUCAUUUAAAUUUCAAAUAUUUCGAUGCCAUUUCUUUCAAAACGUCUAUUCAGCUCUCUGUCAAGGCUUCAAGUUUCAGUCUCAUGGCAGCAAACGCUGGUUGGGAGAAUAGCGGACUCAGGUCUUGAGUAUUCAAUUAAACGCCUCCUUCCAUUAAACGCCCUCAUUCGAUUAAACGCCUUCUUUAAUUAAGCGCCGUCUUGAAUAAUUAUUGUGCCAAUGUUAUUAUUAUACUAUGAUUGAUUUUAAAAA